AAGAUGUUAGUAAAAAUAUUAUAAGGCCUUGUCAAGACCUAGUCGUUAACUAACCUAGCACAUCUUAU
rnacentral:tRNA from 1 species